AAGUCGUAACAAGGUUUCCGUAGGUGAACCUGCGGAAGGAUCAUUAUCACGUAUCCAAACGUAUAAACCAAUGUGCACCUCUAAAAUUCCUCCUUUUUUGGGUUUCAUGAAGUGGCAGAGAAGUUGAUAUUCUGAUUCAUGGUCUUUCAGAAUUCUCUGUCUUGAUUACUCCACAGUAGUCAGCCUUCUAAUCCGGGAGUCGUAUCAAACCAUGCUUGUUUUACUAACAACUUGUACCUUUCUGAACUAACUUUGGUUUCGUACGAACACAAACACGCAAGUGCUUUGUUUUGACGGACCUUGAUUUAUAUAAACUCUGAACUACUCUUAACAACGGAUAUCUUGGUUCUC
rnacentral:misc_RNA from 1 species